GACGAACGCUGGCGGCGUGCCUAAUACAUGCAAGUAGAACGCACAGUUUAUACCGUAGCUUGCUACACCAUAGACUGUGAGUUGCGAACGGGUGAGUAACGCGUAGGUAACCUGCCUGGUAGCGGGGGAUAACUAUUGGAAACGAUAGCUAAUACCGCAUAAUAUUAAUUAUUGCAUGAUAAUUAAUUGAAAGGUGCAAUUGCACCACUACCAGAUGGACCUGCGUUGUAUUAGCUAGUAGGUGAGGUAACGGCUCACCUAGGCGACGAUACAUAGCCGACCUGGGAGGGGGAUCGGCCACACUGGGACUGAGACACGGCCCAGACUCCUACGGGAGGCAGCAGUAGGGAAUCUUCGGCAAUGGACGAAAGUCUGACCGGGCAACGCCGCGGGAGGGAAGAAGGGUUUCGGAUCGGAAAGCUCUGUUGUAAGAGAAGAACGGGUGUGAGAGUGGAAAGUUCACACUGUGACGGUAUCUUACCAGAAAGGGACGGCUAACUACGUG
rnacentral:rRNA from 1 species